rnacentral:rRNA from 1 species
CCAGACUCCUACGGGAGGCAGCAGUGGGGAAUAUUGGGCAAUGGGCGCAAGCCUGACCCAGCAACGCCGCGUGAAGGAAGAAGGCUUUCGGGUUGUAAACUUCUUUUAAGAGGGAAGAGAAGAAGACGGUACCUCUUGAAUAAGCCACGGCUAACUACGUGCCAGCAGCCGCGGUAAUACGUAGGUGGCAAGCGUUAUCCGGAUUUACUGGGUGUAAAGGGGGCGCAGACGGCAGCGCAAGCCAGGAGUGAAAGCCCGGGGCCCAACCCCGGGACUGCUUUUGAAACUGUUGAACUAGAUUGCAGGAGAGGUAAGUGGAAUUCCUAGUGUAGCGGUGAAAUGCGUAGAUAUUAGGAGGAACACCAGUGGCGAAGGCGGCUUACUGGACUGUAAAUGACGCUGAGGCUCGAAAGCGUGGGGAGCAAACAGGAUUAGAUACCCUGGUAC